CCUACGGGUGGCAGCAGUGGGGAAUAUUGGACAAUGGGGGGAACCCUGAUCCAGCCAUGCCGCGUGUGUGAAGAAGGCCCUCGGGUUGUAAAGCACUUUCAGUGAGGAAGAACGCCUGGUGGUUAAUACCCAUCAGGAAAGACAUCACUCACAGAAGAAGCACCGGCUAACUCCGUGCCAGCAGCCGCGGUAAUACGGAGGGUGCGAGCGUUAAUCGGAAUUACUGGGCGUAAAGCGCGCGUAGGUGGCUUGAUAAGCCGGUUGUGAAAGCCCCGGGCUCAAACUGGGAACGGCAUCCGGAACUGUCAAGCUAGAGUGCAGGAGAGGAAGGUAGAAUUCCCGGUGUAGCGGUGAAAUGCGUAGAGAUCGGGAGGAAUACCAGUGGCGAAGGCGGCCUUCUGGACUGACACUGACACUGAGGUGCGAAAGCGUGGGUAGCAAACAGGAUUAGAUACCCCGGUAGUC
rnacentral:rRNA from 1 species